CAGCCGCCGCGGUAAUACGGAGGGUGCAAGCGUUAAUCGGAAUUACUGGGCGUAAAGCGCACGCAGGCGGUCUGACAAGUCAGAUGUGAAAUCCCCGGGCUCAACCUGGGAACUGCAUUUGUGACUGUAUAGCUAGAGUACGGCAGAGGGGGAUGGAAUUCCGCGUGUAGCAGUGAAAUGCGUAGAUAUGCGGAGGAACACCGAUGGCGAAGGCAAUCCCCUGGGCCUGUACUGACGCUCAUGCACGAAAGCGUGGGGAGCAAACAGGAUUAGAUACCCGGGUAGUCCCUGUCUCUUAUAC
rnacentral:rRNA from 1 species